rnacentral:miRNA from 1 species
GGUUGUUUUUUUUUUUCUUC